rnacentral:rRNA from 1 species
GGUUCGAUUCUGGCUCAGAUUGAACGCUGGCGGGAUGCUUUACACAUGCAAGUCGAACGGCAGCACGGACUGGUCUGGUGGCGAGUGGCGAACGGGUGAGUAAUGUAUCGGAACGUGCCUCUAGUAGCGGGAUAACUACGCGAAAGCGUAGCUAAUACCGCAUGGGCCAGCGCCCUUCGGGGGAAAGCGGGGACCUUCGGGCCUCGCACUAUUAGAGCGGCCGAUAUCGGAUUAGCUAGUUGGUGGGGUAACGGCUCACCAAGGCGCGACGAUCCGUAGCUGGUUUGAGAGGACGACCAGCCACACUGGGACUGAGACACGGCCCAGACUCCUACGGGAGGCAGCAGUGGGGGAAUUUUGGACAAUGGGGAAACCCUGAUCCAGCCAUCCCGCGUGUGCGAUGAAGGCCUUCGGGUUGUAAAGCACUUCAAGGCAGGAAGAAACGGCACGGAUAAUACCCGUGCAACUGACGGUACUCGCAGAAUAAGCACCGGCUAACUAUGCCGCCAGCAGCCGGCGGUAAUACGUAGGGUGCAAGUGUUAAUCGGAAUUACUGGGCGUAAAGCGUGCGCAGGCGGUUCGGAAAGAAAGAUGUGAAAUCCCAGAGCUUAACUUUGGAACUGCAUUUUUAACUACUGAGCUAGAGUGUGUCAGAGGGAGGUGGAAUUCCGCGGGGCAGUGAAAUGCGUAGAUAUGCGGAGGAACACCGAUGGCGAAGGCAGCCUCCUUGGGAUAACACUGACGCUCAUGCACGAAAGCGUGGGGAGCAAACAGGAUUAGAUACCCCAGUAGUCCACGCCUCUAAACGAUGUCAAUCCAGCUGUUGGGGCCUUUCGCCUGGUAGCGCGCAGCUAACGCGUGAAGUUGACCGCCGGGGAGCAGGUCGGUCGCAGAUUAAAACUCAAAGGAAUUGACGGGGACCCCGCACAAGCGGUGGAUGAUGUGGAUUAAUUCGAUGCAACGCGGAAAACCUUACCUACCCUUGACAUGUCUGGAAUCCUGAAGAGAUUUGGGAGUGCUCGCAAGAGAACCGGAACACAGCAAAAGCGUAUGGCUGUCGUCAGCUCGUGUCGUGAGAUGUUGGGUUAAGUCCCGCAACGAGCGCAAACCCUUGUCAUUAGUUGCUACGAAAGGGCACUCUAAUGAGACUGCCGGUGACAAACCGGAGGAAGGUGGGGAUGACGUCGGCGGUCCUCAUGGCCCUUAUGGGUAGGGCUUCACACGUCAUACAAUGGCGGUCGGGACAGAGGGUCGCCAACCUGCGAGGGGGAGCCAAUCCCAGAAACCCGAUCGUAAUCCGGAUCGCAGUCUGCAACUCGACUGCGUGAAGUCGGAAUCGCUAGUAAUCGCGGAUCAGCAUGUCGCGGUGAAUAAGCGUUCCCGGGUCUUGUACACACCGCCCGUCACACCAUGGGAGUGGGUUUUACCAGAAGUAGUUAGCCUAACCGUAAGGAGGGCGAUUACCACGGUAGGAUUCAUGACUGGGGUGAAGUCGCACAAGGUAG